AGAGUUUGAUCCUGGCUCAGGACGAACGCUGGCGGCGUGCUUAACACAUGCAAGUCGAACGGUGAAGGGACCAGCUUGCUGGUUCUGGAUGAGUGGCGAACGGGUGAGUAACACGUGAGUAACCUGCCCCCUUCUUCUGGAUAACCGCAUGAAAGUGUGGCUAAUACGGGAUAUUCUGGGUCUGUCGCAUGACGGGCCCGGGAAAGAUAUUGCUUCGGUGGGGGAUGGGCUCGCGGCCUAUCAGCUUGUUGGUGGGGUGAUGGCCUACCAAGGCGGUGACGGGUAGCCGGCCUGAGAGGGUGGACGGUCACACUGGGACUGAGACACGGCCCAGACUCCUACGGGAGGCAGCAGUGGGGAAUAUUGCACAAUGGGCGCAAGCCUGAUGCAGCGACGCCGCGUGAGGGAUGACGGCCUUCGGGUUGUAAACCUCUGUUAGCAGGGAAGAAGAGAGAUUGACGGUACCUGCAGAGAAAGCGCCGGCUAACUACGUGCCAGCAGCCGCGGUAAUACGUAGGGCGCGAGCGUUGUCCGGAAUUAUUGGGCGUAAAGAGCUCGUAGGCGGCUGGUCGCGUCUGUCGUGAAAUCCUCUGGCUUAACUGGGGGCUUGCGGUGGGUACGGGCCGGCUUGAGUGCGGUAGGGGAGACUGGAACUCCUGGUGUAGCGGUGGAAUGCGCAGAUAUCAGGAAGAACACCGGUGGCGAAGGCGGGUCUCUGGGCCGUUACUGACGCUGAGGAGCGAAAGCGUGGGGAGCGAACAGGAUUAGAUACCCUGGUAGUCCACGCCGUAAACGUUGGGCACUAGGUGUGGGGGGCCUUUUCCGGGUUUUCCGCGCCGUAGCUAACGCAUUAAGUGCCCCGCCUGGGGAGUACGGCCGCA
rnacentral:rRNA from 1 species